GUUGUGUUGAGUUUUAUUACUUUUUUCUAUGCUCAGGAGGGGCGGAUUUAAGCAACAAUGAUUGGGGGCUGUUAGACACUCAUUUUGAUGCCACAUCCUUCAGUUCACUGUUGGAGAGAUCCUUCAUAUGAGCCCAGAAACCGAACAAUACUUUGAGUAAAUCUGAAUCCUUGGUUUGUUGAUGAAGAUCACAAUUGUUAAUGGUAGCUACAUAUAUCAGCCUGUGAAGAAAUAAUGACGUCAUCAACGCAUGCAAUGCUCCCAAACUCAAAAUCAAGGUGAAUACCAAAUAAUUAUUUAUGAAUUUUUAUUCUAGUCAGCCAAAACUAGCCGGGUAUGUGCUAAGUGAGACAAAAAAGCAAAACUUGUACUAAAGGAAGGAGACUGUCAUCAAACUCCCAUAUUAUUCAAAUAUCAUAGACAUAAAAUCAGUUAAUCAAUUAAUCGAAACGCAACAAUCGAUCAAUCAGUCUAAAAAUAUUCA